rnacentral:tRNA from 1 species
UAGAGAGGUAGGAAUUGAACCUACAAUUAAGAGAUCAAAACUCUUCGUAAUUCCGUUUUACCACUCCCUA